rnacentral:lncRNA from 1 species
UCAUAAAAUGUUUUUUUACUUUUUUAUAUAACAAAAUUAUUUUAUAAACUACAUAUAAUAAAAAAUAUAUUUUAUAAUUUAGUUUUUAAAAAACAAUUUGUAAUUUAUUUAUUUAUUUUUAAAUACUUAUUUAAUUUUAAAAUGUCACAUAACCAAUUUUUAAUCAAAAUAUUCAACGGGGGCUAGUAAAUGCAAAAGGGGGUAAACUUGGGGGGCCAAAAUCGAGCAAUUGAAACUUGGAGGGCUAACAUCAAGCAAUUGUGAAACUUAGGGGG